GACAGAGGUGCCAAGCGUUAGGCGGAAUCACUGGGCGUAAAGCGCACGUAGGCGGCUUCUUAAGUCAGGGGUGAAAUCCUGGAGCUCAACUCCAGAACUGCCUUUGAUACUGCAAAUCUCGAGUCCGGAAGAGGUGAGUGGAAUUCCUAGUGUAGAGGUGAAAUUCGUAGAUAUUAGGAAGAACACCAGUGGCGAAGGCGGCUCACUGGUCCGGUACUGACGCUGAGGUGCGAAAGCGUGGGGAGCAAACAGG
rnacentral:rRNA from 1 species